rnacentral:rRNA from 1 species
AGGGGACGACGUCUGGUCAGCAUGGCCCUUAGGCCUGGGCGACACACGUGCUACAAUGCCCACUCAAAGCGAUGCCACCCGGCAACGGGGAGCUAAUCGCAAAAAGUGGGCCCAGUUCGGAUUGGGGUCUGCAACCCGACCCCAUGAAGCCGGAAUCGCUAGUAAUCGCGGAUCAGCCAUGCCGCGGUGAAUACGUUCCCGGGCCUU